CAAACCUCCAGCAGCGAGUCCGACCGCACUGGGUUCAGUUCCUCUCACACCCACGUGGUGGUAAAACAGAUCCCUGUUCUCACUACAGGAAACAACCGCUCAGCGUGGCGCUUUACCACACAUUAAAGGGGCACUAUGUUGUUUUUGUUCUCAAAGAGCGUUCAUGACGUGCAAUGUGGCAGCAGCGACGUGCAAUGCGGCGCUUCAGAUAAAAAUCACAGAUGAUGUGCCUUGCCUGCAGGAAGUAGGACUGGGCUCAACAGGUUUUUUUCGAAGGGACAAUAAAGCAAAUGAAAGCCCAAGUGGAGGUCUUCUGGAUAGAAGGAGGCAGCCAUGGACUGACUGUGAAAGGAAGGUCUGAGGAGUCGGUGCUGGAUGAUGUGAACAUACAGGUCAUCACCUGGAUGAACAAGCAAGGAGCAUAGAUUAGCAUAUGUUGCAAGAUUGUAUUUUAUUUGUUUUGUUGUACUUGUUUAAUAAAUGAUUUUUUUUUUACUUUUUUCACAAAAUAUGGUUAAAGAGUUGUGUCAUCUUUUAAUCAAAAGUUUGUUGACACCUUCAUCAUUAAACCUGUGUUGCUGAUCACCUCACAGAGGAACUCUUCACCUGUGCAAAACUGAUCUGACAUAAAAUGAUACUGCAGUGCUGAACACUGACUCAGAAGCAGUGAAACGAUGAGCUCUUCAGCACGGGGAAACAAGUAUGAAGAUAUAUUUGUUUUAAUAAACAUACAUUUCAUAGCACUCAGUCUUAAACAGUGGUGCUAUGAUCUUGACUUGAAAAAAGUCCUGUACAAUGUAUAUUUUCUGUAGGAAUUAUUUUGGAAAGAAUCAUCUACGUGAAUUUUCUGUGCAGAUAUUCUUCUGUUUUAUUUUUCUUGAUUUCUAUAGCAGUAGCCAUGGAAAGUAAUGACCUAUACUAAUUUAGUAUGGUCACCUACCAGCAAAAAGUACCUCAAAGUCAUACUUCACUUUACUAAAAAAUUAAAGGUACUUUGAAAAAAUAUAACUUUAGUAAAAGUGAAACUCACCCAUAAGAAUAGUGCUUAGGUACUUUGUGUCUAAAGUACAUCAUGACAUUGACCUUUGAAUGUUAAAGGGAUAUUCCGGCAUAAAUUUAAUCCAUGGUCUAACACACCGUGUCACUGAGUAAGACCACCCCCCAAGAGAUCAAGUUUACCGACCUCUAGCUUGUCGUUUUAGCAACCUCAGAAAACACCGCACGAUAACAAUGCAUUGCAGUAUACGCCUCCAAGAUGAAACCACCAUCAAAAAGCCUCUCAUAACCACAAAUAAUGUUCAGAAUAGCACCAAACUUCAGCAUCAAUACAAAUAGAGUCCCAGCACAUCUGCUAGCUUUGCAGAUAGCUUUACUACUCAUCACUCUCCUGCAGCAGCUUGCUCGUUGUGGGGAAGCCCUGACGAGUCCAUUACCAAGUGAGUUAGAAAUGGUCAAUUCUGUUGUUUUCCCCAUCAGCUCUCAAUAAUAACUGUCACAUACUGACACAUAUGCACUUUGAUUGCAUUUCCAUGGAGUAAUAAUCAUACAUUUUCAUCCCUGGGCUGCGGAACUCUACUGCACUCGGUAAUCGACUCGUUGGGCUUCCCCA